UGGCAGGGAAAGUUUUCUCUUGACUUGUGC
rnacentral:piRNA from 1 species